rfam:Camelus ferus unplaced genomic scaffold scaffold1982, whole genome shotgun sequence.
GAGGGUAUAGCUCAGUGGUGGAGCAUGUGCUUAGCUUGCAUGAGGUCCUGGGUUCAAUCUCCAGUACCUCCA